rfam:Triticum aestivum genome assembly, contig: Triticum_aestivum_CS42_TGACv1_scaffold_158027_2DL
UAUGUACUCCCUCCGUCCAAAAAUACUUGUCAUCAAAAUGGAUAAAAAAAGAUGUAUCUAGAACUAAAAUACGUUUAGAUGCAUGCCCUUUUAUCCAUUUUGAUGACAAGUAUUUCCGGACGGAGAGAGUACUUA